CGUCCUACGGGGGGCAGCAGUAGGGAAUUUUCGUCAAUGGGCGCAAGCCUGAACGAGCAAUGCCGCGUGAACGAGGAAGGUCUUCGGAUCGUAAAGUUCUGUUGAAGGGGAAAAAGAGCGGAGAGAGGAAAUGGUCUCCGAUUGAUAUUACCCUUCGAGGAAGUCACGGCUAACUACGUGCCAGCAGCCGCGGUAAUACGUAGGUGGCGAGCGUUAUCCGGAAUGAUUGGGCGUAAAGGGUGCGUAGGCGGCUUGGCAAGUCUGAUGUGAAAGGCUGGGGCUCAACCCCAGGACUGCAUUGGAAA
rnacentral:rRNA from 1 species